UGAGCCAAGUUUAGGGUUUUCUCAAAACCCAUGCAGUAUUGAACUGAAGAGUUUGAUCAUGGC
rnacentral:rRNA from 1 species